rnacentral:rRNA from 1 species
GAUGAACGCUGGCGGCGUGCCUAAUACAUGCAAGUCGAGCGAACAGACGAGGAGCUUGUUCCUCUGACGUUAGCGGCGGACGGGUGAGUAACACGUGGAUAACCUACCUAUAAGACUGGGAUAACUUCGGGAAACCGGAGCUAAUACCGGAUAAUAUAUUGAACCGCAUGGUUCAAUAGUGAAAGACGGUUUUGCUGUCACUUAUAGAUGGAUCCGCGCCGCAUUAGCUAGUUGGUAAGGUAACGGCUUACCAAGGCAACGAUGCGUAGCCGACCUGAGAGGGUGAUCGGCCACACUGGAACUGAGACACGGUCCAGACUCCUACGGGAGGCAGCAGUGGGGAAUCUUCCGCAAUGGGCGAAAGCCUGACGGAGCAACGCCGCGUGAGUGAUGAAGGUCUUCGGAUCGUAAAACUCUGUUGUUAGGGAAGAACAAAUGUGGAAGUAACUAUGCACGUCUUGACGGUACCUAAUCAGAAAGCCACGGCUAACUACGUG